rnacentral:lncRNA from 1 species
AAUGAAAAUGCUAAUAAAAAAUCUAGGCAAGAAACAUUGACUCCAUUCAUUUGAAGCUCCAAACAUAAUACAUUGGCAUCAGUUACCCUUGGAAUUUUAGCAGGCCAAUUAAUUAAUAACCAUGUAGGCCCUUAAAUAUGAGUGUAAGUCAUGCUACCAUAUAUACACUGGGUCAAAAACCAUAUGUUUGCAGAAAAAGAAAUGAAAUUACUAAAACGAAAUCUGGGCUAGAAACAUUGACUCCACUCAUUUGAAGCUCCAAAUAUAAUACAUUGGCAUUAGUUACCCUUGGAAUUUCAGCAGGCGAAAUAAUCAAGAACCAAGUAGGCCUUUGUAUAUGAGUGUAAGUCGUGCUACCAUAAAUACAAAUGGUCAAAACAAUAUAUUUUCCAAAAAAAACAAAAUGAAAUUUCUAUAAAAAAAUCUUCACAAGAAACAUUUAUUCCACUCAUUUUAAGCUCCCAACAUAAUACAUUGGCAUCAGCUACCCUUGAAAUUUCAGCAGGCGAAAUAAUCAAGAACCUCGUAGGCCCUUGAAUAUGAGUGUAGUCAUGCUACCAUAUAUACACUGGGUCAAAAACCAUAUGUUUGCCAAAAAUACUAAAUUAAUCUGCUUUAAAAAAGUUUGGGCAAGAAACAUUGACUCUACUCAUUUCAGGCUCAAAACAUAAUAUAUAGGCAUCAAUUUUCCUUGGAAUUACAGUAGGUCAAAUAAUAAAGAACCAUGUAGGCCCUUAUAUAUGAGUGUAAGUCAUGCUACCAUAUAUACACAGGGUCAAAAAUAUAUGUUUGCCAAAAAAACGAAGUGAAAUUGCUUUAAAAAGAUUUGGGCAAGAAUCAUUGACUCCCUUCAUUUGAAGCUCCAAACAUAAUUAAUAGGCAUCAAUUAUCCUUGGAAUUUCAGUUGGUCAAGUAAUCGAGAACCAUGUAGGUCCUUAUAUAUAUGAGUGUAAGUCAAGCUACCAUAUAUACACAAGGGCAAAAACCAUAUUUUUUCAAAAAAAAUUGAAAGGAUAUUGCAAUAAAAAAAUCAAGGCAAGAAACCUUGACUCCACUCAUUUCAAGCUCCAAACAUAAAUCUUUGGCAUCAGUUGCCCCGUGAAAUUCAGCAGGCCAAAUAAUCAAGAACCAUGUAGGCCCUUAAAUAUGAGUGUAAGUCAUGCUACCAUAUAUACACAGUGGGCCCCUAAUAUAAGUGUAUGUCACGCGACCAUAUAUACACAGGGUCAAAAACCUUAUGUUUGCCACAAAAAAGAAACGAAAUUUCUCUAAAAAAUCUGGCCAAGAAACAAGUACUCCGUUUUUUCAAGCUCCAAACAUAAAACAUUGGCAUCACUUAUCCGUGUAAUUUCAGCAGGUCAAAUAAUCAAGAACCAUUCCGGCCCUUAUAUAUGAGUGUAAGUCAUGCUACCAUAUAUAUAGAGGGUCAUAAACCUUAUUUUUGCAAAUAAAAAAGAAAUAAAAUUACUAUAAAAAAAUUUGGGCAAGAAACUUUCACUCCACUCAUUUCAACCUCCAAACGUAUUAAAUUGGCAUUAGUUACCCUUGGAAUUUUAGCAGGCAAAUUAAUCAAGAACCAUGUUGGCCAUUAAAUAUGAGUCUAAGUCAUGCUACCAUAUAUACACAGGGUUAAAAACCAUAUGUUUGUAAAAAAACCGAAAUGAAAUUGUUGUAAAAAUAUCUAAGCAAGAAACAUUGACUCCACUCAUUUCAAGCUCCAAACAUUAAGCAGGCCAAAUAAUACAGAACCUAGUUGGCCCUUCAAUAUGAGUGUAAAUCAUAGUACCAUAAAGCUCCAAAAAUAAUUAAUAGACAUCAAUUAUCCUUGGAAUUUCAGUUGAUCAAAUAAUCAAGAACCAUGUUGGCCCUUAGAUAUGAGUUUAAGUCAUACUACCCUUUAUACACAGGGUCAAAAACCCUAUGUUUGCCAAAAAAUCGAAAUGAAAUUGCUAUAAGCAACUCUCUGCAAGAAACAAUGACUCCUCUCAUUUCAAGAUCCAAACAUAAUACAUUGGCAUCAGUUACCCUUGGAAUUCAGCAGGCCGAAUAAUCUAGAACCAUCUAGGCCCUUAAAUAUGAGUGUAAGUCAUGCUACCAUAUAAUCACAUGGUCGAAAACCUUUUGUUUUCCAAAAAAUUGAAAUGAAAUUGCUAUAAAAAAAUCUGGGCCAAAAACAUUGACUCCACUCAUUUCAAGCUCCAAACAUAAUGGAUGGGCAUCACUUAUCCGUGGAAUUUCAGCAGAUCAAAUAGUCAAGAACCAUGUAGGCCCUUAAAUAUGAGUGUAACUCAUGCUACCAUAUAUACACAGUGACAAAAGCCAUAUGUUUGCCAAAAAAACGAAUUGAAAUUGAUAUAAAAAAUUCUUGGCAAGAAACAUUAACUCCACUCACUUCCAAACAUAAUACAUAGGCAUCAGUUAACUUGAAAUUUCAGCAAGCCAAAUAAUCAAAAUGCUAUCAUAUAUAUGUUGGGUUAAUAACCAUAUCUUUUACAAAAAACCAUAUCUUUUACAAAAAACCGAAAUAAAAUUGCUAAAAAUAAAUCUGGGGAAAAAAAAUUGACUCCACUCAUUUCAUGCUCUAAACAUAAUACAUCGACAACAGUUACCCUUGGAGUUUCAGCAAGCCAAAUAAUCAAGAACAAUGUAGGCCCUUAUAUAUGAGUGUAAGUCAUGCUACCAUAUAUACACUGGGCCAAAAACCAUGUGUUUGCCAAAAAACCGAAAUGAAAUUGCUAUAAAAAAAUCUUGGAAAGACACGUUGACGCCACUCCUUUCAAGCUCCGAAAAUAAUACAUUGGUAUCAGUUACCCUUGGAAUUUCAGCACGCCAAAUAAUCAAGAACCAUGUAGGCCUGUAAAUAUGAGUGUAAGUCUUGCUACCAUAUAUGCACAGGGUCAAAAACCAUAAGUUUGCCGAAAAAAACAAAAUGAAAAUUGGUAUUAAAAAAUUUGGGGAAGAAACCUUGACUCCACUCAUUUAAAGCUCCAAACAUAAUAAAUAGGCAUCAAUUAUCUUUGGAAUUUUUGCAAGUCAAGUAAUCAAGAACCAUGUAGGCCCUUAUAUAUGAGUGUAAGUCAUUCUACCAUAUAUACAAUGGGUCAAAAACCAUAUGUUCGCAGAAAAAACGAAAUGAAAAUGCUAAAAAGCAAUCCGGGCAAGAAACAUUGACUUCACUCAUUUGAAGCUCCAAACAUAAUACAUUGGCAUCAGUUACCCUUGGAAUUUCAGUAGGACAAAUAAUCAAGAACCAAGUAGGCCCUUAAAUAAGAGUGUAAGUCUUUCUACCAUAUAUAUACAAGGUAAGAAAUUAUAUAUUUUCCAAAAAAACUAAAUGAAAUUGCUAUAAAAAAGUUUGGGAAAGAAACAUUGACUCCACUCAUUUCAAGCUCCAAACAUAAUAAAUAGGCAUCAAUUAUUUUUUGAAUUUUAGCAGGUCAAAUAAUCAAGAACCAUGUAGGCCCUUAUAUAUGAGCGUAAGUCAAGCUACCAUAUAUACACAGGUUCAAAACCAUAUGUUUGCCAAAAAAAGCGAUAUAAAAUUGCGAUAAGAAAAUUUGGGCAAGAAACAUCGACACCACUCAUUUCAACCUCCAAACAUAUUAUCUUGGCAUAAGUUACGCAUGGAAAUUCCGUAGGCCAAAUAAUGAAGAACCACGUAGGCCCCUAAAUAUGAGUGUAAGUAUCCUGCCAUAUAUACACAGGGCCAAAAACCAUAUGUUUGUUAAAAAAACGAAAUGAAAUUGGAAACGUUGACUCCACUCCUUUCAAGCUUCGAAUAUAAUACAUUGGCAUCAAUUACCCUUGGAAGUUCUGCAAGCCAAAUAAUCAAGAACCAUGUAGGCCCGUAAAUAUGAGUCUAAGUCUUGCUACCAUAUAUGCACCGAGUCAAAAACCAUAUGUUUGCCAAAAAAAAUAAAAUGAAAUUGCUAUACAAAAAUUUGGGAAAAAAACCUUGACUCCACUCAUUUCAAGCUCCGAACAUAAUAAGUAGGCAUCAAUUAUCUUUGGAAUUUCUGCAGGUCAAAUAAUCAAGAACCAUGUAGGCCCUUAUAUAUGAGUGUAAGUAAUGCUACCAUAUAAACAAAGGGACAAAAACCAUAUGUUUUCAGAAAAAACGAAAUGAAAAUUCUUAAAAAAUAUCUUGGCAAGGAACAUUGACUCCACUCAUUUGAAGCUCCAAACAUAUUACAUUGGCAUCAGUUACCCUUGGAAUUUUAGCAGGACAAAUAAUCAAUAACCAUGUAGGCCUUUAAAUAUGAGUGUAAGUCAUGCUACCAUAUAUACACAGGGUCAAAAACCAUAUGUUUGCGGAAAAACAAAAUGAAAUUGCUAUAAAAAAAUAUGGGCUAGAAACAUUGACUCCACUGAUUUCAAGCUCCAAACAUAAUACAUUGGCAUUAGUUCCCCUUGGAAUUUCUGCAGGCGAAAUAAUCAAGAACCAAGUAGGCUCUUAAAUAAGAGUGUAAGUCAUGCUACCAUAUAUUUAUAAGAUCAAAAACCAUAUGUUUGCAAGAAAAACUAAACGAAAUUGCUAUAGAAAAAAUCUGGGCAAGAAACAUUGAGUCCACUCAUUUCAAGCUCCCAACAUAAUACAUUGGCAUCACUUAUCCUAGGAAUUUCAAUGGGUCAAAUAGUCAAGAAACAUGUAGGCCCUUAAUUCUGUGUGUGAGUGAUGCAACCAUAUAUACAUAAGCUCAAAAACCAUAUGUUUGCCAAAAAAACGAAAUGAAAUUGCUAUUAAAAAAUCUAGAUAAGAAACAUUGACACCUCUCAAUUCCAAACAUAAUACAUAGGCAUCACUUAAAUUUCAGCAACCUAUCGUAUAUACGUAGGGUUAAAAACCUUAUGUUUGCCGAAGAACAAAAAUAAAAAUUUCAAUGAAAAAAUCUGGGCAAGGAACAUUGACUCCACUCAAAUCAACCACCAAACAUAAUACAUUGGCAUCCGUUACACAUGAAAUUUCUAGAGGCCAAACAAACAAGAACCAUGUAGGCCCAUAAAUAUGAGUGUAAGUAUUGCUACCAUAUAUACACAGGGUCAAAAACCAUAUGUUCGGAUAAAAAACGAAAUUAAAUUGCUAUAAAAAAAAUCUUGAAAAGAAAAAUUUACUCCACUCAUUUCAAGCUCCAAACUUAAUAAGAAGGCAUCAAUUAUCCUUGGAAUUUAGGCAAGUCAAAUAAUUAACAACCAUGUAGGCCCUUAUAUAUGAGUGUAUGUCAUGCCAACAUAUAUACACAAGGUUAAAAACCAUAUUUUUGAAAAAAAAAAACGAAACAAAAUUGCUAUAAAAAAAUCUAGGAAAAAAACAAUGACUCCACUCAUUUCAAGCUCCAAACAUAAUACAUUGGCACCAGUUUCCCUCGGAAUUUCAGUAGGCCAACUAAUCAAGGACCAUGUUGGCUCUUAAAUAUGAGUCUAAGUCAUGCUACCAUAUAUACAAAGGGUCAAAAACCAUAUAUUUGCUAAAAAAAAGAAGUGAAAUUGCUAUAUAAAAAUCAUGGAAAGAGACAUUGACUCCAUUCAUUUAAAGCUCCAGACAUAACACAUUGGCAUCAGUUACCCUUGGAAUUUCAGCCGGCCAAAUAAUCACGAACCAUGUAGGCCCUUAAAUAAGAGUGUAAGUCUUGCUACCAUAUAUACACAGGGUCAAAAACCAUAUGUUUUCAAAAAAAGCAAAAUGAAAUUGCGAUAAAAAAAUAUUAGAAAAAAACUUGACUCGACUCAUUUCAAGCUCCGAACAUAUCCAAGAAAUUUUUGCAGGUCAAAUAAUCAAGAACCAUGUAGGCCCUUAUAUAUGAGUGUAAGUUAUGCUACCAUAUAUACACAGGGACAAAAACCAUAUGUUUGCAAAAAAAAUGAAAUGAUUUUGCUACAAAAAAUUAUAGGAAAGAAACACUGACUCCACUCAUUUCAAGCUCCAAACAUAAUACAUUGGCAUCAGUUACCAUUGAAAUUUCGGCAGGCCAAAUAAUCAUGAACCAUGUAAGCCCUUAAAUAUGAGUGUAAGUCAUGCUACCAAAUAUACGAAGGGUCAAAAACCAUAUGUUUACAAAAAAAACGAACUGAAAUUGCUAUAAAAAAAUCUGUGCAAGAAACAUUGACUCCAAUCAUUUCAUGUUCUAAACAUAAUACAUAUGCAUCGCUUAUCCUUGGAAUUUCUGCUGGUCAAAUUGUCAAGAACCAUGUAGGCCCCUAAAUAUGAGUGUAUGUCAUGCUACCAUAUAUACACCGAGACAACAACCAUAUGUUUGCUUAAAAAAUGAAAUGAAUUUGCUAUAAAAAAAUUUGGGCCAGAAACAUUGACUCCACGCAAUUCCAAAAAUUUCAACCUCCAAACAUAAUACAUUGGAAUCUUAUACCCUUGGAAUUUCCGCCGGCCAAUUAAUCAAGGACCAUGUUGGCCCUUAAAUAUGAGUCUAUGUCAUACUACCAUACAUACACAGGGUCAAAAACCAUAUGUUUGCCAAAAAAUCGAAAUGAAAUUGCUAUAAAAAUAUCUGAGCAAAAAACAUUGACUCCACUCAUUUCAAGCUUCAAACAUAAUACAUUGGCAUCAGUUACCCUUGGAGUUUCAGCAAGCCAAAUAAUCAAGAACCAUGUUGGCGCUUCAAUAUGAGUGUAAGUCAUGGUACCAUAUAUACACUUGGUCAAAAACCAUAUGUUUUCCAAAAAAAUGAAAUAAAAUUCCUAUAAAAAAAUCUAGGCAAGAAACAUUAACUCUACUCAUUUCAAGCUCCAAACAUAAUUAAUAGGCAUCAAUUAUCCUUGUAAAUUUCAGUUGGUCAAAUAAUCAAGAACCAUGUAGGCCCUUAUAUAUGAGUGUAAGUCAUGCUACCAUAUAUACUCAAGUACAAAAACCAUAUGCUUGCAAAAAAAAAGAAAUGUAAUUUCUAUUAAAAAAUUUGGGCAAGAAACACUGAACUCCACUCAUUUCAAACUCUAAACAUAAUAGAUAGGCGUCACUUAUCCUUGGAAUUUCAGUAGGUCAAAUAAUCAUAAAACCAUGUAGGCCCUUAAAUAUGAGUGUAAGUCAUGCUACCAUAUAUACACAGGGUCAAAAACCAUAUGUUUUCCAAAAAUAUGAAAUGAAAUUGCUAUAAUAAAAUCUGGGCAAGAAACAUUGACUCCACUCAUUUCUAAAGAUAAUACAUUGGCAUCAGUUAACCUUUGAAUUUCAGCAAGCCAAAUAAUCAUAAUGCUACCAUAUAUACGUAGGGUUAAAAGCUAUCUAUUUGUCAAAAACGAAAAUAAACUUGCUAUAAAAAAAUCUAGGCAAGAAAUAUUGACUCCACUCAUUUCAAGCUCCAAACAUAAUUCAUAGGCAUCAGUUAACUUUUGAAUUUCGGCAGGCCAAAUAAUCAAGAACCAUGUAGGCCCUUCAAUAUGAGUGUAAGUCAUGCUCCCAUAUAUACAUAAGGUUAAAAACAUAUGUUUUCCCAAAAAAAUAAAUCAAAUUGCUACCAUACACUACUUUAUCAAACCUAAAGCUGUUAUAAGAGUCCUAAAGCAUAAGAAAGUUUCGUAUGAGCAUAUUAAGAUCUAUCAAAUGAUCAUAUUCUGAUAUACUCUUGUUGCUUUUAUUUGAACUUUCUAACAUAAAUUUAAAGAACUGUUUUCAACUCAUGCCCCAACGCUAUAAAGCAUGCUGUCUGAAAUAAUUUUGGAGUAAAGGUCAAAAAGGUAAAAAUCUCAUCACUAUAGUGUGCUUUUCCUUUCUAGCCUACACAUAUUAAUUAGAACGAAUCAGAAGUCUUACAACCACAUUAUGAUGGUCUUAUAUUUUCAUCCAAUAAAAUCUCACCAUUACUUCUUCUCUUAGUUUUAAGCUUUUGAAGGAAAAAGAGGAUGUAUUUCUUGAACUAUGCCCUUGAACACAUAUUGGUUUAAAUCAGCGCUGUCAAGUUUUAUAUAUCAGACAAAGAGAGGGCAUUUUCACCAAUUUUUACAUUUCACCCAUUUUUACACAUAUAAACAGUAUUGCAACAGUAUUCCAAUACUGGGAAACAAUGCUUUAAAAAUGAAAACAAAAAUCUGGAAAAAAAAAUGCUAUAAACAAAUCAGGGCAAAAAAUGCUACAGAGAAAGAAUAAUAUAUACACAGGGUUUUGCUCAGUAUUCAGAAUAUUCAGGAAAUGAAAACAAAAUCUGGGCAAAAAUGCAAUACAAAUGAAAACAAAAAUCUAGGUGAAAAAGGCUAUAAAAAAAUAUGAGCAAAAAUUUCUACAGAGAAAAAACCAUGUAGUUGCCCAGAUUUUGCUCAGUAUUUGGGAUAUUCAAGACAAAAACUGCUCAGAUUUGCGUGCUGUUCUUUGGGGCUUUGGAGGUUUUGUACUUGAAAAAAGUGAAAACCAAAGGGAGAGAUGGAAAAAGAAAAACCAGAGAGAGAGGGAGAGCGUUAGCAUGCCUUGAAUGGGAGAGAGUUUCUGUGCACCCAAGGGUUUGAGGAGCAAGGAAAAAUUGUAGCAGCAGGGUGAAAGAUCUGCGGGUUUUCAGAGGUCCCUAUGUAUACAGAGAGAGGAGAGGGAAUACGCAGAGAGCUUGGCCGCUGAGACAGAGCGGGCAAAGAGCACUCAGAGACAAAUGGAGGGCUAGGGUGCUAUAUCUGCGGAGGUGCCUAUGUAUACAUAGAGAGAAGAGGGAAUACACAUAGAGCUUGGCCGCUAAUACAGAGCGGGCGAAGAGAAUGCAGAGACAAGUGGAGGGCCAGGGUGCAAGAUCUGUGGGUCUGCGGAGGUUCCUGUGUAUACAGAGAGACGCAGAGAGCUUGGCCGCUGAGACAGAGUGGGCAGAGAGCAUUCAGAGAUGGAGCGGGAGGAGAGAGAAUUUAUAGAGAGCAGAAGGAGAGAGAAUGCGUAGAGAGAUUGAGAGGAGAGAGAGGGAGUACUCUUCCAUUCAUUACUCUGUGGGUGUCAGUACCCUAUAUGACAAUAACAUUUUAAAAUAUGCUUUAAACGUAUAAAGCAACUACCCCGCGGGAUCCCAUCU